rnacentral:rRNA from 1 species
AACGAACGCUGGCGGCAUGCCUAACACAUGCAAGUCGAACGAGACCUUCGGGUCUAGUGGCGCACGGGUGCGUAACGCGUGGGAACCUGCCCUUAGGUUCGGAAUAACUCCCCGAAAGGGGUGCUAAUACCGGAUAAUGUCUUCGGACCAAAGAUUUAUCGCCUUUGGAUGGGCCCGCGUUGGAUUAGCUAGUUGGUAGGGUAAAAGCCUACCAAGGCGACGAUCCAUAGCUGGUCUGAGAGGAUGAUCAGCCACACUGGGACCGAGACACGGCCCAGACUCCUACGGGAGGCAGCAGUGGGGAAUAUUGGACAAUGGGCGAAAGCCUGAUCCAGCAAUGCCGCGUGAGUGAUGAAGGCCUUAGGGUUGUAAAGCUCUUUUAACCGGGAUGAUAAUGACAGUACCGGGAGAAUAAGCUCCGGCUAACUCCGUG